CCUACGGGUGGCAGCAGUGGGGAAUAUUGCGCAAUGGGCGAAAGCCUGACGCAGCGACGCCGCGUGAGGGAUGAAGGUCUUCGGAUCGUAAACCCCUGUUAUUAGGGAAGAACGUGCGUGUAUCUAACUAGUAAGGACUUGACGGUACCUGCCCAGGAAGCACCGGCUAACUCCGUGCCAGCAGCCGCGGUAAUACGGAGGGUGCGAGCGUUAACCGGAAUUACUGGGCGUAAAGCGCGCGUAGGCGGGAUUUUAAGUCAGAGGUGAAAUCCCACGGCUCAACCUUGGAAGUGCAUUUGAAACUGGUAAACUUGAGUAUGGGAGAGGAAGGUGGAAUUCCAGGUGUAGGGGUGAAAUGCGUAGAGAUCUGGAGGAACACCAGUGGCGAAGGCGACUUUCUAGAACAUAACUGACGCUGAUGUGCGAAAGCGUGGGGAGCAAACAGGAUUAGAUACCCCUGUAGUC
rnacentral:rRNA from 1 species